rnacentral:rRNA from 1 species
UGCGUAGAUAUCAGGAGGAAUACCGAUGGCGAAGGCAGUCUCUGGGCUGACACUGACGCUCAUCACGAAAGCGUGGGAGCAAACAGGAUUAGAUACCCUGGUAGUCCACGCCUAAACGAUGUCGACUGGUUGUUGGGGGUUUGACACUCUCAGUAACGAAGCUAACGCGUGAAGUCGACCGCCUGGGGAGUACGGCCGCAAGGUUAAAACUCAAAGGAAUUGACGGGGACCCGCACAAGCGGUGGAUUAUGUGGAUUAAUUCGAUGCAACGCGAAAAACCUUACCUACCCUUGACAUGUCCCGAAGCCCGGUGAGAGCUGGGUGUGCCCGAAAGGGAACGGGAACACAGGUGCUGCAUGGCUGUCGUCAGCUCGUGUCGUGAGAUGUUGGGUUAAGUCCCGCAACGAGCGCAACCCUUGUCAUUAGUUGCUACAUUUGGUUGGGCACUCUAAUGAGACUGCCGGUGACAAACCGGAGGAAGGUGGGGAUGACGUCAAGUCCUCAUGGCCCUUAUGGGUAGGGCUUCACACGUAAUACAAUGGCGCGUACAGA